UCACUUACUCUGGGUCAAUUAAUAAACAAAAGUGAUUUUAUUAAGUAUAAAAAGUAGGAUUUAAGGGGUUCCAAGUAAUAACAGACAGAACAAAGUAAGUUACUAAGCAAAAUAAAACAAAACACGCAAGUCUAAGCUUAAUACAUUAAGAAACUGAAUACAAGUAAAUCUCACCCUUAGAGAUGUUCCAAUAAGCUUCUUUCACAGACUAGACUCCUUCCUAGUCUGGGCCCAAUCCUUUCCCCUGGUACAGUUCUUGUUAGUUCCAGCUCAGGUGGUAACUAGGGGAUUUUUCAUGACUGCAGCCCCCUUUGUUCUGUUCCACCCCCUUUUAUAGCUUUGGCACAAGGCAGGAAUCCUUGGUCUCUCUCUGGGUUCCCACUCCUCCUUCUAAAUGGAAAAGCACCAGCUUAAAGAUGGAUUCUAGUAUCGUGUGACAUGUUCACAUGUCCUGUGAAUCCCCUUCAUUCUUCCAGGACUGGCCCGCACACUUGCAGUGGAGGCUUGCGGGUAAACAGAGCCAUCUACAACCAAUUGUUCUAGUCAGUGGAGCCAUCAAGAUUCCAAACCACCAUUAAUGGCCCACACUUUGCAUAAUUACAAUAGACUUCAGAGUUAUACUUUAUAUUUCUAGUUUCAGAUCCAAGAAUGAUACAGGCAUACAAAUAGGAUGAGCAAACUGAGUAGAUUAUAAGCUUUGUAAUGAUACCUUACAAGAGACCUUUUGCAUGAAGCAUAUUCCAGUUACAUUAUAUUCACACUCAUUAGCAUAUUUCCAUAAAACAUUUGGAGUGCAACAUCACACCCUCUCAUGAACCUACUGCCAGAGUCUUGGACACUGUCCAUGGCGGAGGCAGUACGUGUAAAAUCCCUGUUAGUCUCUGGUUACACACCCUCCCAGUACUUUUAAAUCCUAUGAUGUUGUUUAUAGAUGUUCUUGCAAAGUUCUGGGUCUGCAAGUGCCUGAAAACAUGUUGGGGUGUAGUAUUGCUAACAGAAUGCAGACAGCAAUAUCUGUUAAAGUGUAGGUAUCUUGGCAUUUAGCCACCAAUGCCAUGAGGCAGUGUGCCUCAGUUUCCCCCUCCACACAGCAGUGUAGGCCUGUUAUGCUUUUGCUGCUGUGCCAAGCUUCCAGCCUGUUUACAGGUAUAAGCUGGAAACAACAUGCUUGCGGGAUUGUCUUGUCACCAUUCCUAGCAUGUACAAAAGUUUUUCCCACAAAUCAAGUAUGUCCCACAUCUUUAAAGGGUUUACCAUUAGUAUUAACUCCGUUGUCUUGACCCCUAGAUGAAGUAGCAAAAGACACAAGAUUAACAGCCAGCUUAUGAUGGACAGAUUCCGUUCACACAGCCUGGCUUGCCCAGUGUCCACUGUAUUUCCCAAUCCCUUUGUGUACCAUGGUGGGGGCUCAGACACAGAUUCUCCUGCCUCUCUGGAGAAGGCUCUCAAUUCAGGCAUGUGUUUGAGGUUCUGGCAAGGAAAGGGUGCACUGCAACCAUGCCUGCCCUUGGCCCCUCCCUCUGGAAUCUCUUUGUUUUGGACCCCACCCCCUUGUGAAGUUUUCCUUCUGCCUAUCUUGAAGAGACAGUUUUAUCUCUUACAAGCGUAGCAGGAACAACAUCCUUCAAUGGAGUGCUUUGGAUUGGUUAAGGAGAACAAUUUAUACGUGACGGUGGAUAACGAACUGAUGUCGGAACCCGCGAGUUCUUGGCCUGUGAUUGGAAAAGAACCCAAAACUCCGUUCUUUGCCCCACUCUGCUCUUGUGUACGAAUCGCUAGGCAGUUCUGCCUUCCCUCCGCACCCAGGCCAGCUUGACUCGUGUAAUCCCUUGAAGAGGGGGCGAAGCGUGGCACAUCCUUGCGACACUGCUGCUAGGAAGAGAACUAGGAGAACACCCAACUGCAAAGCACUCAGACAGCUUAAGCUGUUUGUAGCAGGGUGCUGGUGCAAAAGCACCUAAUUAGCCCCUGCCCAGUCAGCUUCAAACAGGGGAGGCAGAUUGGGGCUCAUGGAAAAGGCCUGAUGCCAGCUUGAGGAUUGGCAACACCGGCUAGCCUGACAAGCCAAGGACUAUAAAGGCUGGGAGGGAGCUGGGGGCAGCCAGGGAGAAGUUAGUCAGGGAGAGAACUGGAGGCCUCCUAGCUGAAGGCUGCCUCUGCCUGUGAAGGAGGUGACUAAUUCUGUAAAGAUUGUGUAUAGAUAGACACUGAUGGUGGGAUAAUCUUAAGU